rnacentral:rRNA from 1 species
GACGAACGCUGGCGGCGUGCUUAACGCAUGCAAGUCGAACGAUGAAGCCCAGCUUGCUGGGUGGAUUAGUGGCGAACGGGUGAGUAACACGUGGGCAACCUGCCCCAAACUCUGGGAUAACUCCUCGAAAGAGGUGCUAAUACCGGAUACGAACUAGACAGACAUCUGUACUAGUUGGAAAGUUUUUCGGUUUGGGAUGGGCCCGCGGCCCAUCAGCUUGUUGGUGAGGUAACGGCUCACCAAGGCUACGACGGGUAACCGGCCUGAGAGGGCGGCCGGUCACACUGGGACUGAGACACGGCCCAGACUCCUACGGGAGGCAGCAGUGGGGAAUAUUGCGCAAUGGGCGAAAGCCUGACGCAGCGACGCCGCGUGAGGGAUGAAGGUCUUCGGAUCGUAAACCUCUUUCAGUAGGGACGAAGCGAAAGUGACGGUACCUAAAGAAGAAGCACCGGCUAACUACGUGCCAGCAGCCGCCGCAG